CUUGACCGCGAGCCGGAGCAGUCACCGUUCUGUACCGCUCCGUGUCACCAGCUGACAAAAAGCUUGGUUAAUGAAGUCCGAGAUCCUCAAACACCCAACACCCGGCUACCGUUACACAGAGUGUACCACGCAAAAGCAACAUAUGCCGUUUGUACAGCCUGCUAAGGUGAAACAACAGAAACGUUGACUUGGGGCCUACAGACCCACGCCGAGCCUAGAUUGGUCGGAACUGUUGUGCGGCAUCGAGCCCCCUGGGGAACGGGAGGCGGAAGAUUAGCCUGCAGCUCUCUCACCUGACCCUGCUUCGAUGGGGCGAUGGACCCAAAAGCCACCCCUGGAGUCACCUUCAGGAUCCAGGCACAUAGGGACACUUCUACUGCAACCAUCACCAUCCAAAAUGGCGGGAACUGCAUAACACGAAUCCACAAAGGUACAAUCAGACUCCAUGCAGCCUGACUCACCUCCAGAGCAGGCUCAACCCUCCACAGGGGACUCAGAUGGGUCAGCACCAAUUACAC